rnacentral:rRNA from 1 species
UUUAGUUCAAAACCCCGAAACUAAGUGAGCUACCCCGAGACAGCCUAUCAAUUAGGGCCAACCCAUCUCUGUGGCAAAAGAGUGGGAAGAGCUCCGGGUAGAGGUGACAAACCUACCGAACUUAGUUAUAGCUGGUUACCUAAGAAAUGAAUAAAAGUUCAGCCUCGCACUCCUUGCCUCACAAACAUCCAAAACCACACGAGCCAAAGAAAUAUGCGAGAGUUAGUCAAAGGGGGUACAGCCCCUUUGAAACAGGACACAACCUCAUGCAGGAGGUUAAAGAUUAUACUAAACAAGAUACACCGCUUUAGUGGGCCUAAAAGCAGCCACCUAGACAGAUAGCGUUAAAGCUCCAGCGGACUAAAAAUCUAUUAUCCAAAUAAUUUAUCUAAAACCCCUAACAAUAUUAGGUCGCCCCAUGCCUACAUGGAAGAGAUACUGCUAAAAUGAGUAAUAAGAAGGAACCCCCUUCUCCUAGCCUACGUGUAUAUUAGAUCGGACCCCCCACUAAUAAUUAUCGAGCCCAACCAAAGAGGGUAAUGUGAUCGCACUAAACAACAAGAAAACAUCACACCACCAAAUCGUUAAUCCCACACCGGAAGGCCCACAAGGAAAGACUAAAAGAAAAGGAAGGAACUCGGCAAACCCAAGCCUCGCCUGUUUACCAAAAACAUCGCCUCCUGCAAAAAUCAAUGUAUAGGAGGUCCUACCUGCCCAGUGACAAGUUAAACGGCCGCGGUAUUUUGACCGUGCGAAGGUAGCGCAAUCACUUGUCUUUUAAAUGAAGACCUGUAUGAAUGGUGGAACGAGGGCUUAACUGUCUCCCCUUUCCAGUCAAUGAAAUUGAUCUGCCCGUGCAGAAGCGGACAUAUUAGUACAAGACGAGAAGACCCUUUGGAGCUUAAGAUAAAAGAUCAACUAUGUCAAGAAACUAAAAACAUAGCUUAAACUAAAUAGCAGCUGAUCCUUAUCUUCAGUUGGGGCGACUGCGGAAGAAAACAAAGCUUCCACGAGGAUUGGGAUAAAUAACCUAAAGCCGAGAAAGACACUUCUAAGCCACAGAACAUCUGACCAUAUAAGAUCCGGCCACCCGCCGAUCAACGGACCAAGUUACCCUAGGGAUAACAGCGCAAUCCCCUUUCAGAGUUCAAAUCGACAAGGGGGUUUACGACCUCGAUGUUGGAUCAGGACAUCCUAAUGGUGCAGCCGCU